AGAUGCUUCUGGGUCGCGGUGUGCUAAGCGAGGAGUCCGAGUGUGUGAGCUUGAGAGCCGCGCGCUAGAGCGACCCGGCGAGGGAUGGCGGCCACCGGGACCGCGGCCGCCGCAGCCACGGGCAGGCUCCUGCUUCUGCUGCUGGUGGGGCUCACGGCGCCUGCCUUGGCGCUGGCCGGCUACAUCGAGGCUCUUGCAGCCAAUGCCGGAACAGGAUUUGCUGUUGCUGAGCCUCAAAUCGCAAUGUUUUGUGGGAAGUUAAAUAUGCAUGUGAACAUUCAGACUGGGAAAUGGGAACCUGAUCCAACAGGCACCAAGAGCUGCUUUGAAACAAAAGAAGAAGUUCUUCAGUACUGUCAGGAGAUGUAUCCAGAGCUACAGAUCACAAAUGUGAUGGAGGCAAACCAGCGGGUUAGUAUUGACAACUGGUGCCGGAGGGACAAAAAGCAAUGCAAGAGUCGCUUUGUUACACCUUUCAAGUGUCUCGUGGGUGAAUUUGUAAGUGAUGUCCUGCUAGUUCCAGAAAAGUGCCAGUUUUUCCACAAAGAGCGGAUGGAGGUGUGUGAGAAUCACCAGCACUGGCACACGGUAGUCAAAGAGGCAUGUCUGACUCAGGGAAUGACCUUAUAUAGCUACGGCAUGCUGCUCCCAUGUGGGGUAGACCAGUUCCAUGGCACUGAAUAUGUGUGCUGCCCUCAGACAAAGAUUAUUGGAUCUGUGUCAAAAGAAGAGGAAGAGGAAGAUGAAGAGGAAGAGGAAGAGGAAGAUGAAGAGGAAGACUAUGAUGUUUAUAAAAGUGAAUUUCCUACUGAAGCAGAUCUGGAAGACUUCACAGAAGCAGCUGUGGAUGAGGAUGAUGAGGAUGAGGAAGAAGGGGAGGAAGUGGUGGAGGACCGAGAUUACUACUAUGACACCUUCAAAGGAGAUGACUACAAUGAGGAGAAUCCUACUGAACCCGGCAGCGACGGCACCAUGUCAGACAAGGAAAUUACUCAUGAUGUCAAAGCUGUCUGCUCCCAGGAGGCGAUGACGGGGCCCUGCCGGGCCGUGAUGCCUCGUUGGUACUUCGACCUCUCCAAGGGAAAGUGCGUGCGCUUUAUAUAUGGUGGCUGCGGCGGCAACAGGAACAAUUUUGAGUCUGAGGAUUAUUGUAUGGCUGUGUGUAAAGCGAUGAUUCCUCCAACUCCUCUGCCAACCAAUGAUGUUGAUGUGUAUUUCGAGACCUCUGCAGAUGAUAAUGAGCAUGCUCGCUUCCAGAAGGCUAAGGAGCAGCUGGAGAUUCGGCACCGCAACCGAAUGGACAGGGGUUAUAAGAGAGCAGCAGGAACACCAAAGUGCAACUUUUCUUCUGGAUUUACUCAGGAUUGAAGAGAAUUGAAAAGGGAAUGCCUUGCUAGGCCUAAGCUCCACCCCAAAUCCCACACAGUCCCAUGUUGGGCUUACAGUUUGCAAAAUGCUUAUUGUUUUAUCCACAUCAGCUCUGAAAAGUAAAGAAGGAAUGGGAAGAGGCAGAGCUUCAAGCUAAGAACCUCCCCAAAGCAGAGAGGCAGACUCUGAUUCAGCACUUCCAAGCCAUGGUUAAAGCUUUAGAGAAGGAAGCAGCCAGUGAGAAGCAGCAGCUGGUGGAGACCCACCUGGCCCGAGUGGAAGCUAUGCUGAAUGACCGCCGUCGGAUGGCUCUGGAGAACUACCUGGCUGCCUUGCAGUCUGACCCGCCACGGCCUCAUCGCAUUCUCCAGGCCUUACGGCGUUAUGUCCGUGCUGAGAACAAAGAUCGCUUACAUACCAUCCGUCAUUACCAGCAUGUGUUGGCUGUUGACCCAGAAAAGGCGGCCCAGAUGAAAUCCCAGGUGAUGACACAUCUCCACGUGAUUGAAGAAAGGAGGAACCAAAGCCUCUCUCUGCUCUACAAAGUACCUUAUGUAGCCCAAGAAAUUCAAGAGGAAAUUGAUGAGCUCCUUCAGGAGCAGCGUGCAGAUAUGGACCAGUUCACUGCCUCAAUCUCAGAGACCCCUGUGGACGUCCGGGUGAGCUCUGAGGAGAGUGAGGAGAUCCCACCGUUCCACCCCUUCCACCCCUUCCCAGCCCUACCUGAGAACGAAGGAUCUGGAGUGGGAGAGCAGGAUGGGGGACUGAUCGGUGCCGAAGAGAAAGUGAUUAACAGUAAGAAUAAAGUGGAUGAAAACAUGGUCAUUGACGAGACUCUGGAUGUUAAGGAAAUGAUUUUCAAUGCCGAGAGAGUUGGAGGCCUCGAGGAAGAGCGGGAAUCCGUGGGCCCACUGCGGGAGGACUUCAGUCUGAGUAGCAGUGCUCUCAUUGGCCUGCUGGUCAUCGCAGUGGCCAUUGCCACGGUCAUCGUCAUCAGCCUGGUGAUGCUGAGGAAGAGGCAGUAUGGCACCAUCAGCCACGGGAUCGUGGAGGUUGAUCCAAUGCUCACCCCAGAAGAGCGUCACCUGAACAAGAUGCAGAACCAUGGCUAUGAGAACCCCACCUACAAAUACCUGGAGCAGAUGCAGAUUUAGGUGGCAGGGAGCGCGGCAGCCCUGGCGGAGGGAUGCAGGUGGGCCGGAAGAUCCCACGAUUCCGAUCGACUGCCAAGCAGCAGCCGCUGCCAGGGGCUGCGUCUGACAUCCUGACCUCCUGGACUGUAGGACUAUAUAAAGUACUACUGUAGAACUGCAAUUUCCAUUCUUUUAAAUGGGUGAAAAAUGGUAAUAUAACAAUAUAUGAUAUAUAAACCUUAAAUGAAAAAAAUGAUCUAUUGCAGAUAUUUGAUGUAGUUUUCUUUUUUAAAUUAAUCAGAAACCCCACUUCCAUUGUAUUGUCUGACACAUGCUCUCAAUAUAUAAUAAAUGGGAAAUGUCGAUUUUCAAUAAUAGACUUAUAUGCAGGCUGUCGUUCCGGUUAUGUUGUGUAAGUCAACUCUUCAGCCUCAUUCACUGUCCUGGCUUUUAUUUAAAGAAAAAAAAGGCAGUAUUCCCUUUUUAAAUGAGCUUUCAGGAAGUUGCUGAGAAAUGGGGUGGAAUAGGGAACUGUAAUGGCCACUGAAGCACGUGAGAGACCCUCGCAAAAUGAUGUGAAAGGACCAGUUUCUUGAAGUCCAGUGUUUCCACGGCUGGAUACCUGUGUGUCUCCAUAAAAGUCCUGUCACCAAGGACGUUAAAGGCAUUUUAUUCCAGCGUCUUCUAGAGAGCUUAGUGUAUACAGAUGAGGGUGUCCGCUGCUGCUUUCCUUCGGAAUCCAGUGCUUCCACAGAGAUUAGCCUGUAGCUUAUAUUUGACAUUCUUCACUGUCUGUUGUUUACCUACCGUAGCUUUUUACCGUUCACUUCCCCUUCCAACUAUGUCCAGAUGUGCAGGCUCCUCCUCUCUGGACUUUCUCCAAAGGCACUGACCCUCGGCCUCUACUUUGUCCCCUCACCUCCACCCCCUCCUGUCACCGGCCUUGUGACAUUCACUCAGAGAAGACCACACCAAGGAGGCGGCCGCUGGCCCAGGAGAGAACACGGGGAGGUUUGUUUGUGUGAAAGGAAAGUAGUCCAGGCUGUCCCUGAAACUGAGUCUGUGGACACUGUGGAAAGCUUUGAACAAUUGUGUUUUCGUCACAGGAGUCUUUGUAAUGCUUGUACAGUUGAUGUCGAUGCUCACUGCUUCUGCUUUUUCUUUCUUUUUAUUUUAAAUCUGAAGGUUCUGGUAACCUGUGGUGUAUUUUUAUUUUCCUGUGACUGUUUUUGUUUUGUUUUUUUCCUUUUUCCUCCCCUUUGACCCUAUUCAUGUCUCUACCCACUAUGCACAGAUUAAACUUCACCUACAAACUCCUUAAUAUGAUCUGUGGAGAAUGUACACAGUUUAAACACAUCAAUAAAUACUUUAACUUCCA